rfam:Myotis davidii contig194873, whole genome shotgun sequence.
GGCAGUUUUUGGGUGACGCACCCCAGAAUCAGGCUCUCUCCUCUCUGGUUCUGGAUGCGUCACUGGAGAACCACC